rfam:Scleropages formosus scaffold3983, whole genome shotgun sequence.
GGUUUGUAGGCAGUGUUGUUAGCUGAUUGUUUCGCUCUUGCUGCAAUCACUAACCAUACUGCCAACAGAAC